rnacentral:rRNA from 1 species
AGCGAACGCUGGCGGCAGGCUUAACACAUGCAAGUCGAGCGGGCACUUCGGUGUCAGCGGCAGACGGGUGAGUAACACGUGGGAACGUACCCUUCGGUUCGGAAUAACGCUGGGAAACUAGCGCUAAUACCGGAUACGCCCUUUUGGGGAAAGGUUUACUGCCGAAGGAUCGGCCCGCGUCUGAUUAGCUAGUUGGUGGUGUAAUGGCAUACCAAGGCGACGAUCAGUAGCUGGUCUGUGAGAAUGAUCAGCCACACUGGGACUGAGACACGGCCCAGACUCCUGCGGGAGGCAGCCGUGGGGAAUAUUAGAAAACGAACGCAAGCAUGCUCCAGCCAUGCCGCGUAAGUGAUGAAGGCCUUAGGGUUGUAAAGCUCUUUUGUCCGGGACGAUAAUGACGGUACCGGAAGAAUAAGCCCCGGCUAACUUCGUG